rnacentral:rRNA from 1 species
CCUACGGGAGGCAGCAGUGAGGAAUAUUGGUCAAUGGCCGGAAGGCUGAACCAGCCAAGCCGCGUGAAGGACGAAGGUGCCAAGCAUUGUAAACUUCUUUUGUCAAGGGACAAAAUCAGGCUCGAGAGCCUGACCGAGGGUACUUGAAGAAAAAGCAUCGGCUAACUCCGUGCCAGCAGCCGCGGUAAUACGGAGGAUGCGAGCGUUAUCCGGAUUUAUUGGGUUUAAAGGGAGCGUAGGCCGGCUUUUAAGUCAGCUGUGAAAGUCCGCGGCUCAACCGUGGAAUUGCAGUUGAAACUGGCAGUCUUGAGUACAGUAGAGGUGGGCGGAAUUCGUGGUGUAGCGGUGAAAUGCUUAGAUAUCACGAAGAACUCCGAUUGCGAAGGCAGCUCACUGGACUGCAACUGACACUGAUGCUCGAAAGUGUGGGUAUCAAACAGGAUUAGAUACCCCAGUAGUC